UACCAGCACCCCGAGUGGUCGGGACGAUUAUUGGGCCUAAAGCAUCCGUAGCCGGUCCUGCAAGUCUUCCGUUAAAUCCACCUGCUCAACAGAUGGGCUGCGGAAGAUACUAUAGGGCUAGGAGGCGGGAGAGGCAAGCGGUACUCAGUGGGUAGGGGUAAAAUCCUCUGAUCCAUUGAAGACCACCAGUGGCGAAGGCGGCUUGCCAGAACGCGCUCGACGGUGAGGGAUGAAAGCUGGGGGAGCAAACCGGG
rnacentral:rRNA from 1 species